UGAUCCUAAAGAACUAGCUUAUCCUGUGAAUACACCAAGAGAAAGGACAACUUAUGGCAUAUAUAAUGUACUGUUGGCGAUUAAGAAAAGGAAACCAUUUCUUGUGAGUGAUAAAGGACAAACAGAAUUGAAGGAGACCUUAACUGAUGAAUCAUUAUCAGAUAUUAGUAACCUGUCACUAUUAGGAGGACGUGAUAUUAAGGAAGUGAUUGAAAUAACCGAAGAAUUCAAGACAAGAUUGACUCCAAUAAAGCUAGAUAUUAAAGAUCUUGAUAUUGUCAUUAAAGAGUUAACAUCAGAUCAACACUUGUCCUGUUCUGUAUGGCACAGACUAGGUCUACAUGUAACAGACGCUCCUAGCUAUCUGUUCACCAAACUUAUUUCUUAAUCAACACUGAGCUCAAAAAAACCAACUAACAAAAACUAACUCACAACUAACAAACAACACACUUAUAUAGAUCUUAUAAAUGUCCAGAAGGUUCUAUAACAUACAAGAAUACUUUACAUGAUUG